rnacentral:rRNA from 1 species
CCUUAUCAGAUUCUACCACCUCUGUGAACCGUUGACCUCCGGGUUAAUAAUCAAACAUCAGUGUAACGAACGUAAGAGUAUCUUAAUUAAACAAAACUUUUAACAACGGAUCUCUUGGCUCUCGCAUCGAUGAAGAACGCAGCGAAAUGCGAUAAGUAAUGUGAAUUGCAGAAUUCAGUGAAUCAUCGAAUCUUUGAACGCACCUUGCGCCUUUUGGUAUUCCGAAAGGCAUGCCUGUUUCAGUGUCAUGAAAUCUCAAUCUAAUAUGUUUUCUGAACAUGUUAGGCUUGGACUUGGGUGUCUGCCAGUGAUGGCUCACCUCAAAUGACUUAGUGGAACAUCCCACAUCAGUGUUAGACGUAAUAAGUUUCGUCUCUCCUUGUGGUGAUGACUGCUCAGAACCUGCCAUCGCGCAUCUUUUGACUUUGACCUGAAAUCAGGUAGGGCUACCCGCUGAACUUAAGCAUAUCAAUAAGCGGAGGAAA